rnacentral:tRNA from 1 species
GCCGGAUUAGCUCAGUUGGUAGAGCGGCGCAUUCGUAAUGCGUAGGUCAGGUGUUCGAAUCACCUAUCCGGCACCA